AGGAGAUCUGGACACAGAGAGACACUCACAUGGGGAGUAUACCAUGUGAAGGUGGAGGCAGAGUGCGGAUUGACGCAUCUGCAAGGCAAAGAAGGCUACAGACUGCCACCAAACCACCGGGACCUACGAGACAGAUUCCACAAGCGACAGGUCUCACAAGCGACAAACCCUGCAGACACCUUGAUCUCAGACUUCUAGCCUCUCAAACUGUGAGACAACACAUUUCCAUGAAGUCACCCAGUUUGUAACACAUCGUUAGGGCAGCCUCAGGAAACGAAUACAUGGAUGCCCUAACCCAGGGCUUGGCACCUGCUCCUUUGCACAGGAAUACCCUUGCUGCUUUCUCCUUGGUUACUAGAACCUACAUUUUAUUGUGAUGCCUCAAUACAUGCAGAAAGGAAUCUACAAGAGCACAUUUCAAUCAAGCUGUUGUUUAGAUUUUUUAAGAAAUCUGAACACUUUGCGUAGAGCAUCACUAAACAGAAAACCUGGUGUAUAAAGAACGAUUUGAUGCAAGGCUUUUCUGAUUAUACAAGUGAUGCAGGUUCCUUGAAGAAAAUCUGGAAAACACAGCAGAAAAUAAAAACGAAAUUAUGAACGGUUAA